GACGAACGCUGGCGGCGUGCUUAACACAUGCAAGUCGAACGGAAAGGCCCUGCUUUUGUGGGGUGCUCGAGUGGCGAACGGGUGAGUAACACGUGAGUAACCUGCCCUUGACUUUGGGAUAACUUCAGGAAACUGGGGCUAAUACCGGAUAGGAGCUCCUGCUGCAUGGUGGGGGUUGGAAAGUUUCGGCGGUUGGGGAUGGACUCGCGGCUUAUCAGCUUGUUGGUGGGGUAGUGGCUUACCAAGGCUUUGACGGGUAGCCGGCCUGAGAGGGUGACCGGCCACAUGGGGACUGAGAUACGGCCCAGACUCCUACGGGAGGCAGCAGUGGGGAAUAUGGCACAAUGGGCGGAAGCCUGAUGCAGCAACGCCGCGUGCGGGAUGACGGCCUUCGGGGUGUAAACCGCUUUCGCCUGUGACGAAGCGUGAGUGACGGUAAUGGGUAAAGAAGCACCGGCUAACUACGUG
rnacentral:rRNA from 1 species